rnacentral:lncRNA from 1 species
AAUUGCAGCUCAUCAAUCAAUCGCUCCAGCCUUUGGACAUCCUGUACACACAGAAGGUCUGUUUAUUCUGAGGUUUCCUCCAAAGUCCAACCGAAUAACCUGGUUUCAGCCUUUGGAUCGCUGUGGACUACAGCAGCAUUGAGGCGUAGGUCACAGACAACAUSGURCGUGUGGGCACUGGCGCAGACUCCUCCAGAGCAACUGCUAGGACUCUGUAAUCUUUGAUCCUGCGGUAUUGUCACUAGUUGUACCCAAGUGUUGCGUGUGCAUGUGAGCCUCAUUAUGCCGAACAAAUGUAUAAGGAACACACUCUCCUAAGGAGCCUAUAGUAGGACAUCAAUAUUGAUUUUUCUCCUCUGCUGCUGUG